CCUACGGGGCGCAGCAGUGAGGAAUAUUGGUCAAUGGACGAGAGUCUGAACCAGCCAAGUAGCGUGAAGGAUGACUGCCCUAUGGGUUGUAAACUUCUUUUAUAUGGGAAUAAAAUGUUCCACGUGUGGGAUUUUGUAUGUACCAUAUGAAUAAGGAUCGGCUAACUCCGUGCCAGCAGCCGCGGUAAUACGGAGGAUCCGAGCGUUAUCCGGAUUUAUUGGGUUUAAAGGGAGCGUAGGUGGAUUGUUAAGUCAGUUGUGAAAGUUUGCGGCUCAACCGUAAAAUUGCAGUUGAAACUGGCAGUCUUGAGUACAGCAGAGGUGGGCGGAAUUCGUGGUGUAGCGGUGAAAUGCUUAGAUAUCACGAAGAACUCCGAUUGCGAAGGCAGUUCACUGGACUGCAACUGACACUGAGGCUCGAAAGUGUGGGUAUCAAACAGGAUUAGAUACCCGAGUAGUC
rnacentral:rRNA from 1 species